CUUGGUCAUUUAGAGGAAGUAAAAGUCGUAACAAGGUAACCGUAGGUGAACCUGCGGUUGGAUCAUUACAAAAUUGGUAUCUUACCAAACAUUGUGUGCACCAUAACUGUUCUUAGCAGUGUAUUGUUUGAGUCAGAUGGCUGGAUCCUUGAGGAUCGAUUCCUCCCUUCAGGGGGGUUCCGAGUCCAAGGUCGAAGGCCACACCUGGCCAGGCAAUCUCUGCCGCCUAUCUAAACAUUGUAUUUAAAACAUUUAGUCUGAAUCAGUUCACCAACAAAGUGAAAUGAAAAACAACUUUUGACAACGGAUCUCUUGGUUCUGGCAUCGAUGAAGAACGCAGCGAAAUGCGAUACGUAAUGUGAAUUGCAGAUUUCAGUGAAUCAUCGAAUCUUUGAACGCACAUUGCGCCCGCCAGUAUUCUGGCGGGCAUGCCUGUUCGAGCGUCAUUAUCAACCAUCAAGCUUGGCUUGUUGUUGGACUUAUUGGCUGGGGGACACCCUGACCGGUCCGAAAGAUAAUGAACGGGUGCUCAGCGGCCUUGGAUGCAACGAGCUUUCUAAGCACGCAUUGAACGGUCGUGAGGCCCGGUCUUCUCUAUUAUUUUUCUAUGGUUGACCUCGGAUCAGGUAGGAAUACCCGCUGAACUUAAGCAUAUCAAUAAGCGGAGGA
rnacentral:rRNA from 1 species